UCUUAGUGAUAAAACUUUGCCCAGUUCUGUUACUGACUUUAAGUGAUGAUAAACUGUCUGAGGGGG
ensembl:snoRNA